UUGAUUGCUGUAAUUUUCUUAAAAUUAUAUACAUUUUACAUUAAUUCUAAAAAAGAAAAUAAUUGUUGGCAAAUAAAGAUCGCAAAAGCAUAACUCCAUUAGUUUGUUUUUUAAAAAUUGGAUACCUAAACAUCUCAAAGCUUGUCACUCUUUGUAUAAUUAGGCGACAAGAUAUACAAGCUUUGUUAAAGCCUGUAUAAUCAUAAUAGAUAAAAUGAGAUGGGGGCGCUAUCUGGCGCAAAAGUCAGAGAAUGCAUCGUUGAAUCCAUG